rnacentral:rRNA from 1 species
GUGAUAGUCCCGUAUGCGAAAAACAAAGCUUAGAUAGCAGUAUCCUGAGUAGGGCGGGACACGAGGAAUACUGUCUGAAUCCGGGUCGCCCACGAUCCAACCCUAAAUACUAAUACCAGAUCGAUAGUGCACAAGUACCGUGAGGGAAAGGUGAAAAGAACUGAGGUGAGCAGAGUGAAAUAGAACCUCAAACCAUUUGCUUACAAUCAUUCAGAGCACUAUGUAGCAAUAC